rfam:Danio rerio chromosome 4, GRCz11 reference primary assembly.
GGUAGCGUGGCCGAAAGGUCUAAAGCGCUGGAUUUAGGCUCCAGUCUCUUCGGGGGCGUGGGUUCGAAUGCCACCGCUGCCA